UUAUUGAUAAAUUCACUGGGCAGCUCUUUCAACAAGUUUCUGUGCGUGCCUCCAUGUGUGUGCACGAGUGUGUGUCUGUACUGUGUGUGUAUUUGCGAAAGAGAACGGGAGAAGGAAAGUGUGAUUUCCGUACAUAUAAAGGUGGAAAACAUAAAUAAUUAGUAAUUUUUCAUCCUAUUGCUUAUUAUAUUUAUUUGCUCAAUAUCUUUUGAGGUUUUGGUUCUUUUACUGUUGUAGAAAGCCGCCCAUAGUAUAACAAAAGUAGGUUACACUUUAUUUUAAGUUGUCCAAGUUACAGUGUAAAUAUACAUUUAAGUAAUAUUAAUUCACUAUAUGUACUUAUUAUAUAGGGUUAGGAUUAGGGUUUGGUUUAGGGUUACUUGCGUGUAAUUAGGACUAUGCAUGAAUAAUUGUUAUUAUAAUAGUAAGUACAUGUAACGUGUAACAAGGACACCUUAAAAUAAAAUGUUAGCCAAAAGUAAUAUUUAUCGCUUAAUUGUACUUGAAGCAUAUCUUCAUGUCUCAUUUUUCUUUUUAUUUUAACUUAUUUUAAAAUAACGCAAUUUUUACUUCACAACCCUCAAUCAAUUCAGUUUUAUUUUUUGGCCCUUUGUAGUAAAAAGCUUUGGCACCUCUGAUUUAAUAUUCAUUUAUAAUAUUUUAAGUGUUUUUAAAAGGUUUGGUGAUGUUUCACUUCUUUCAUUUUCACUUCAAUGUGCUUUUGAGCCUGUUCAUCCUGCUGCAGUUUCCUGCAGGUCAUGUGACUGAUGCGACUCAUCUGCAUACAAGUAUUUAAGACCACAGCAUACUUUGCAGUGUUCUCAGACGGGAGAUUGAAGAACACAAGACUAAUCUGUUGUAUGAUAUUAAGCAUUUCAUCUGCUUUCAUUUGCUCUUUGGGAUCCAAAUUCACUUCAGGACUUAGGUUCUUCCAGCCUUACAGAAGACCUAAGACAUCAUAUCCUGACAAAUUAAAAUCAAACAACAUGGCGGCAGAGAAAGCAGCAGCAGAAGAACCAAGGGAAACUCUACUGUCACCACUGACAUUAACAAUUACAAUUGUAACAGUUGUAGUAGUAGCUUAUGCAUAUAUUUCAGGAGUAUGUGAAGGAGUAGUCGGAGCAGCAGCUGGAGCAGCAGCUGGAAUUGGCAUUUUACACUCACUGUGGGAAGAAGAAGAAAGAACAGAACUACUAGCUGUCGCAGUAACAGGAGUAACAGGAGGCAUAGCAGGAUUAGCAGCAGCAAUGUUGCGAUCAAUGGUAGCAGAACGUUCACUAACAGGAGCAGCAAUAGUUGGAGCGAUAGCAGGAGCUGCAAUAGUUGCAAUAGCAAAAACACAAUUAAAAUGCGCUAUAAAAAUAAUAAAGCGUUUAAAAGAUGCAUUGAAACUGUUUGUAGGAGUGAGUCUAGUAGCAAUAACAGGAAGUCUAAUAAAAUGGGUAAAAGAUCUAAUAAAGUCUGCAGUAUCCCAAGUAAAAGCAGCAGCACAAUGGAUUAUAGAUGCAGCAAAAAAAGCAUUCAAUGCAUUAGCAUCAUUUGGAGCAUCAGGAUUAGCACUAACAGCAGCAGGAGUAGUAGCAUCAGUAGCAUUAGCAUCAGCAGCAGCAUCAGGAUUAGCAGCAGUAGGAACAGCAGUAGCAGGUCUAGCAUCUGGAUUAUUUGGAGGAUUAUUGGGACUUGGGUUAGUACUUGCGGCAGGAGCAGCACUUUUUGGAUCAGGCUGGAGAGGACAAUCAAACCAGCAGCAGCAGACCCGAGGAGCAGAUAUGAUGUUACCAAUUGCUGCUUUUUUGCUUUUGCUUUUAUUUUGUUUUCUUGUUACCUCCGUGGGUUUGUUUCGAUGUUGCUGUUUGUUGAUUCUCUUCCUGUUCCUGUGGUUUCUGCUGUGCUACCGCUCUGAAAAUCACUGAUCUUGUUCAUUAAGAAGGCGACCAGUAUGAAAGCCUCAAAAAGGUCUCAAAAACGAAGAUGAAAGAGACUCUCAGGUCUUGUCUCCAUGCAGGGACUUUUUUCAGCCUGCAUUAUUUUGACCUAGUUCUAUUAUUGUGGAUUCAGUGUUCUUCUAUUGUUGUAAGGUCAUUGUUCUGCUACAAAUAUCACUUCUGUGUACUGCUGUGUGUACAUUAUAUCCAACUUUACAUACUAACAUAAAAAGAUAUUUAAAAAGAAACGCCCUCUCAAUUUCUACUACUUUUAUCUGCAGAAAAUUUCUUAACGUGUAUAUAUUUGUUUUAACAGAAAGUUAAAUAACUGAGACAAACUGCACAAGUUCCACAGCCAUUCAGUGGUUACUAUGCAAGAGAAGCAUGGAUGGAUACUUUUGCACUUUUGAAAUUUUUUUCCCUUUUUUUUCUUCCAUUAGCACCAACACAAAACACAAGUGUGGGUAUUGGGCUUGUGUUCUGUUUAAUAGGUAAAUUAAAGGUCUAAAAGUUUCAUCACGAAUUAUAAAACAAUUUGAUUUCUGAUGAGAAUUUUAAAAUUAAGAGAUUAAUCAUUUUCAUUGGCUUUCUACACACACAUGCACAAUUCUUUUUUUUUUUUUUUGUGGGGACAUUCCAUAGACAUAAUGGUUUUUCUACUGUACAAACUGUAUUUUCUAUCCCCUCAACCUAACCCUAAACCUAAAUCUACCUCUCACACAAAACGUUCUUCUAUUUUUGAUAGAACAUAUUUUCUAUAUGCUUUAUAAGAUUGUUUUCUCUUGGGGACAAAUCACAAAUGUCCCAAAAAUGUCAAAAUUUACUGGUAUUACUAUACUUGUGGGGACAUUUGGUCCUCAUAAUGUAGGGAAUCCCAGGUACGCACACACACGGUUGUUUGUAUUUUUAAGUAGUCAAAAACAAAACACAAAUAUAUGCAUGUUUAAAGGUAAUUUUAUAGAUAUAUAAUUCUUUUAUUUAAGAUCUG
ensembl:lncRNA